rnacentral:rRNA from 1 species
AUUGAACGCUGGCGGCAGGCUUAACACAUGCAAGUCGAGCGGAGUGAUGGUGCUUGCACUAUCACUUAGCGGCGGACGGGUGAGUAAUGCUUAGGAAUCUGCCAUUUAGUGGGGGACAACAUUCCGAAAGGAAUGCUAAUACCGCAUACGUCCUACGGGAGAAAGCAGGGGAUCUUCGGACCUUCCGCUAAAUGAUGAGCCUAAGUUGGAUUAGCUAGUUGGUGGGGUAAAGGCCUACCAAGGCGACGAUCUGUAGCGGGUCUGAGAGGAUGAGCCGGCACACUGGGACUGAGACACGGCCCAGACUCCUACGGGAGGCAGCAGUGGGGAAUAUUGGACAAUGGGCGGAAGCCUGAUCCAGCCAUGCCGCGUGUGUGAAGAAGGCCUUUUGGUUGUAAAGCACUUUAAGCGAGGAGGAGGCUCUCCUAGUUAAUACCUAGGAAGAGUGGACGUUACUCGCAGAAUAAGCACCGGCUAACUCUGUGCCAGCCGCCGCCGUAACAC